rnacentral:lncRNA from 1 species
AGUUAGCGGCCCAGGCGCUUGUGGGGACAGGCCUCCGCAUGAACAGAGCCAAAUGGGCUGCGAUGAGUCAGACGCUUCGCACCGGCGACGUCCACGGACGAUCACUCCAUCACACACAGCUCGGCCUGAACCGACACGCUCGCACAGGAGAGCACCACAACCACGGGAGAGAACCACAAACACAGGAGAGCACCACAAAACAGGAGAGCACCACAAACACAGGAGAGAACCACAAAACAGGAGAGAACCACAAAACACAGGAGAGCAUCACAAACACAGGAGAGCACCACAAACACAGGAGAGCACCACAAAACAGGAGAGCAUCACAAACACAGGAAAGCACCACAAAACAGGAGAGCACCACAAACACAGGAGAGCACCACAAAACAGGAGAGCACCACAAAACACAGGAGAGCAUCACAAACACAGGAGAGCACCACAAACACAGGAGAGAACCACAAAACAGGAGAGCACCACAAACACAGGAGAGCAUCACAAACACAGGAGAGCAUCACAAACACAGGAGACAACCACAAACACAGGAGAGAACCACAAACACAGGAGAGCACCACAAAACAGGAGAGCACCACAAACACAGGAGAGAACCACAAAACAGGAGAGCACCACAAACACAGGAGAGCAUCACAAACACAGGAGAGCACCACAAACACAGGAGAGCACCACAAACACAGGAGAGCAUCACAAACACAGGAGAGCACCACAAACACAGGAGACAACCACAAAACAGAAGAGCACCACAAAACAGGAGAGCACCACAAACACAGGAGAGCACCACAAACACAGGAGAGCACCACAAACACAGGAGAGAACCACAAAACAGAAGAGCACCACAAAACAGGAGAGCACCACAAACACAGGAGAGCAUCACAAACACAGGAGAGCACCACAAACACAGGAGAGCAUCACAAACACAGGAGAGCAUCACAACCGCUGCUGCUGUGAACCGCGAGGCCCUGAUGUCGUACACCAGCGCUGAGGGUCCACAUGCAGCUACAGGUCACUGAUGAAUGGAAGCACGUGACUCCUCUUAGUCACACAUCAUCUUCGCAGGCGCAGCGUCUGUUCUCGCUCUGCGGUGGAUCCGCACUCAAAGGAGGAGUCCGGCCUCUCAGCCUGAACGUCCAGGUUAAAAACGGUGGAGCCGGUCUCUAACAUUCUGUGUCACAGCAUGCCACUAUUUUCUAAUGAUUUCUUUUAUUGUGCUUCCUGUGCAUCAGCUGAUUCUGCCUCUGAGAAAAAAAAAUUAACAAUGUGUUGACUCAGUUGUGUGGUCCUGUUUUAGUUUGUCGUGCACAAAUGCUCUCGUAGCAGCUGAUAAAUCCCCUUUCAAAAUAAAAGCCUCUUAGUGACUCAAAGCAUUUUCCUCAUAUACCCUUUGUUUAGAGCUGUCCCCGCU